GCCCUGCUAGCUCAAUCGGUAGAGCGUGAGACUUUUACGAUCUCAAGGCUGCGGGUUCGAGCCCCGCGUGGGGCU
rnacentral:tRNA from 1 species